GGAUCAUUAUAGAGUUUUCUAAACUCCCAACCCAUGUGAACUUACCUUUUGUUGCCUCGGCAGAAGUUAUAGGUCUUCUUAUAGCUGCUGCCGGUGGACCAUUAAACUCUUGUUAUUUUAUGUAAUCUGAGCGUCUUAUUUUAAUAAGUCAAAACUUUCAACAACGGAUCUCUUGGUUCUGGCAUCGAUGAAGAACGCAGCGAAAUGCGAUAAGUAAUGUGAAUUGCAGAAUUCAGUGAAUCAUCGAAUCUUUGAACGCACAUUGCGCCCAUUAGUAUUCUAGUGGGCAUGCCUGUUCGAGCGUCAUUUCAACCCUUAAGCCUAGCUUAGUGUUGGGAAUCUACUUCUCUUAGGAGUUGUAGUUCCUGAAAUACAACGGCGGAUUUGUAGUAUCCUCUGAGCGUAGUAAUUUUUUUCUCGCUUUUGUUAGGUGCUAUAACUCCCAGCCGCUAAACCCCCAAUUUUUUGUGGUUGACCUCGGAUCAGGUAGGAAUACCCGCUGAACUUAAGCAUAUCAAUAAGCGGAGGAAAAGAAACCAACAGGGAUUGCCUUAGUAACGGCGAGUGAAGCGGCAACAGCUCAAAUUUGAAAUCUGGCCCUUGGGUCCGAAUUGUAAUUUGUAGAGGAUGAUUUUGGUGCGGUAUCUUCCGAGUUCCUUGGAACAGGACGCCUUAGAGGGUGAGAGCCCCGUACGGUUGAAUGCCUAGCCUCUGUAAAUCUCCUUCGACGAGUCGAGUAGUUUGGGAAUGCUGCUCUAAAUGGGAGGUAAAUUUCUUCUAAAGCUAAAUAUUGGCCAGAGACCGAUAGCGCACAAGUAGAGUGAUCGAAAGAUGAAAAGCACUUUGAAAAGAGGGUUAAAUAGCACGUGAAAUUGUUGAAAGGGAAGGAUUUGUGACCAGACUUUUUCUGGGCGGAUCAUCCGGGGUUCUCUCCGGUGCACUUCGCCCAGUAAAGGCCAGCAUCGGUUUUCGGCGUGGGAUAAAAGCAGUAGGAAUGUGGCUCUCUACGGGGAGUGUUAUAGCCUAUUGUAUAAUACCGCGCUGGGGACCGAGGUUCGCGCU
rnacentral:rRNA from 1 species